UUGCUUUUCGUUUAUCAUUUGUUCAGACUUCAUGAUACGUUUGGGUUUGUGACCGGCCGCGGGGUACCUCCCCCGAAUUAACGGGGGCCUCCCCCAGGGCCGAAGCGAUGUGAGUUGCUUGCGCGUCUCAUGACAAAGGGCGGGUGGCGGGCGCGAGGCCCAGACCCAGUAAUGAUCCUUCCGCAGGUUCACCUAGAAUGAGUUAGCGCGCGUUACAAUGAUUUAUGGUACGAGGAUGUUUUGAUGACUUACCUACGGAAA
rnacentral:misc_RNA from 1 species